CAAUGAUAACAGCUUACCUCUGAGGAUAGUUGUGAAGUCCCCAGAUAGCAGAUGACUGGUAGGAAGAUGAGGCAAGUUUGCGGUCCAUUGUCAUGGAUAGUGGAGACAACACUGGGCCAGAAGUGGUAAGACCUGAAUCCAAGACUCAGCUCUGCCACUUGCUAAAUGGGACUUUGAAUAAACCAUUUCUCUGCACUUAAGUUCCUUACCAACAAAACGAGGGAAGUGGCCUACAUGCCUAGAUAUCAACAUUUCAUGUCACGUAGAGAUCUAGCAUCACAAGAAUCCAAGUCAUCCUCUGUUGCCUUUAAGAAAUUAGAAUUAAAGGAAUCAGAAUUGAAGUGAAUCUGACUACACUAAGCCUAUCACUUGUGACAGCCAUGGGAAGAUAUCAUUGGUUGCUGAGGAGCAGAAAUAAGCAGAGACCUAUUGUGUUAGGUUAUCAUUCAUUUCAGACAAAAAGCAGAUCAGCAAGUUUUCAUAUUGCACUAUUUUCAAUGGCUGGAGCAUCAACAUUUUACAACAAGAAAAAAAUUAAAAUUCUUCAACAUUUGGAAAAGAAGUGUUUGUAAAACUUUUCACAUCCAUUCACCAUCCGGAAAAGCAAGGUUUUACAGUGAGGCCUGAUGAUGUCUAGAGUCACCAUGCAUCUUGGAAAAUGACCUCCUAUUUAUUUCUUCUACAGGACACCAUGGUGUUCACCUUUCUACAACUUUACACUUGCUGAGGACAUAUUGUGGAAAAUUAAGAGAAAUAUAUAUGGAUGGCCAAGGCUGUA